rnacentral:rRNA from 1 species
UGAGUAACACGUGGAUAACCUACCUAUAAGACUGGGAUAACUUCGGGAAACCGGAGCUAAUACCGGAUAAUAUAUUGAACCGCAUGGUUCAAUAGUGAAAGACGGUUUUGCCGUCACUUAUAGAUGGAUCCGCGCCGCAUUAGCUAGUUGGUAAGGUAACGGCUUACCAAGGCAACGAUGCGUAGCCGACCUGAGAGGGUGAUCGGCCACACUGUAACUGAGACACGGUCCAG